CCAAGGGGAGCAUGAAAGAGGGAUGUGUGAGGGCGGCUGUGAAGGGGCGUGUGUGAAAGACACAGAGACGGAAGAGACUGUCACCCAGUAUACACGAAGACCAUCUCCAUCCAGCUGGCGGGCUGGGCCAGCUCCCCAGAAGGCAGCCCUGAGUCCUUCCUUUGACGGGGACACCUCUCCCCUCCAGCAACCCUCUCCCCCAUCACUUUCAUUUGCUGGGAAGAAGAAGAAUCCGGUAGCCCCAGAAGAAAAGAAGAACAAGAGCAAAGUAGCGCUCAGUCGGUCUGGCCUUGGGAUGAAGACCAGCUUCAGGACCCUGAGCCCAUCCCCAGGGAUGCCCCUGGCCCCCCAAGCUUGAGCACUGCAGCAUCAGCAUCAGCAGCUGAAGAGGAGCUGUACCACUGAGGCCUCUGGGCCACCCCAGGUUGAGGUGGCCCGGCUAGAAGAACUCACCACGGAGAAGUUGCUGGCGGAGCAGCGGUGCCCACUGAAGUUACAGCUCUUGAGCAUGUCGGCAAGCUGGUGGCCGGUGCGGUUGAGGAUGUCUACCAUGUCAGGCUCUGGGUAACGAAGGCCAGCUGCACGGUGCCCAUCCCGGUCUUUGGGGGGCAGCCCUGUUAGAUUGGCCAGGUGGAAGAUAUCAGCGUCGCUGAGUGCCGAAUGCCGGAAUCGGUUGAUGUUGCAGAGGGUGACAGCCGGGAAGCCCGUCACUGGGGCCGGGGCAGCAGGGUCCACAGCUACCAGGUGAGGCCGGGUCAGGUAGCCCCUGGCCAGGCUGGCUGCCUGGUAGAGGAAGGCAGCCAGUGAGGUUACUUCAGUCUGGGGCUCUGCCAAGAGAGUGGGAGCUGCCCCCCAAUCUCUCCCCAGCACACUCCCUACCGCCCUGACAUCCUGUCUGAAUACCUGGCUAUCUGCUGAGAUCUCAGGGUCAAGCUGUCUCCACCGCACAUUGACCUCCAUCAUGAGCCCAGAUAAUACCCUCUUCCCCUCUUCAGAUUACGAUCAUUACCAGCUCAUCUGGCAACUAAGCUCAGCACCCACAGCUGCGGAAAGGGGGUGCCAAGAGGGGCACUCUGGGGUCACGGGCAAACACGAGAGACGUGGGAAGAGCCAGGCUAUGACCCGCCAGAAGGUAUCAGGCUGUCAAGGGGUAACAAGGCACCUCCUAGACCAGAGACCUCUGCCAGAGGAGUGGGAGAGAGACCCUGGAAGACCCCUGGGUGGGGGCAAAACCCCCAGCUCCCCAAAGCCAGCCUGGGAGCAGAUGGAGCUGGCAAAGCGUUAAACAGGCCAGGGCUGGGUCUUGGCAGGAGCUGAGAGCAGGCUGCUGGGUGUUCAGCCUGGGCCCCAGCCUCCCAGCAAGUGUGCUCACUGAAAUCCUUUCAGCGUUCUCUCAGCAUUCUAGAGAGCCAGGCCCAGGGAGGCAGGCAGGCAGGCAGGCAGGCAGGGCGAAGGUCAGGGGGCCAGCAGGCCAGGGAGCCUGGAGGGCCUUCGUCUAAAGCAGCUAGCGCAGAAGGCCGAGGCAGUGGGAGGGGGAGAUUUACCAAGGCUCUGGAUUCAUUAUUCAUGAAGCAGCAGCAACGACUCCAAUUUAAAUGCUAAUGUGGGGGGGCCUGACUCAGCUGCCCCUCUUGUCCCCGCCACCCCCAGCCCAGGCACAAGCGGAGUCCAAGCUGCCUCCAAGGUUCAUAGGGGUUUAUUUGGGGGUGGAGAGGGUGGCCAGACGUCCCUGGCCACACACGUGGCUCCCUGCAAGGGAAGAUUCCGUCUGGUUUCCUCAGAUCCCGUUCUGGACGGAGCGGGCCAGGCAGGCCGCAGCCCGGAGGAAGACGAGCGGGAGUCCGGGGGGGGGGGGGGUGCGCGUGAGGCAGCACCCUCACAGGAUGAUCUGGUUGGUGAAGCUUCGACUUAGCUCCUUGUGUGGCAGAACAAUCGAGUUCAAGAUGAGCACCUCGGCAGGGAUCCGGACGCGGCAGCCUGAAGCGUGGGCAAGGUCACCAGGAGCAGGUCAUGAGAGGUACUGGGGCAGGGGAGGAGCUGGGGCCAUGGCCAGGCCAUCAAGAGGGAGUCCUCCCUGCUGCCCACCUGUGCCCCCGCCCUGGUCUCAUCCCCCAGUGACUCAUGUGGGCUGGGUACAUGGCAGGAGCUUGGUAAAUGUUUGCUGACAGAAUAACACGUGUGUGUGACAAAACACACACACACACACA